UAAGGAAUAUUGCACAAUGGGCGAAAGCCUGAUGCAGCAACGCCGCGUGAGUGAUGAAGGCCUUCGGGUUGUAAAGCUCUGUCUUCUGGGACGAUAAUGACGGUACCAGAGGAGGAAGCCACGGCUAGCUACGUGCCAGCAGCCGCGGUAAUACGUAGGUGGCAAGCGUUGUCCGGAUUUACUGGUCGUAAAGGAUGCGUAGGCGGAUACUUAAGUCAGAUGUGAAAAUCCCGGGCUUAACUUGGGAACUGCAUUUGAAACUGGGUAUCUAGAGUGCGGGAGAGGAAAGUGGAAUUCCUAGUGUAGCGGUGAAAUGCGUAGAGAUUAGGAAGAACACCAGUGGCGAAGGCGACUUUCUGGACCGUAACUGACGCUGAGGCAUGAAAGCGUGGGGAGCAAACA
rnacentral:rRNA from 1 species